AUCACCCUGAUUGUAGGCAAUGUAAAAGAAACGUGCUUUACAUCAGCAGGGGACAACGACUGGAUUUGGUGCAGUAUGGAUUUUGACUGAUUCCAAAGAAAACUGUUUCCUGCACAUACAGACUAUAUAUGCUCAUUUCUCUCAAAUGAAGAUGUCUGCCAUGAGAGACUGCAAGCUUUUGCCAGAGAAGCAUGGGUGCCUACAGUCUGUCUCCAAGCAAUAUCCUGUGGGCAGCAGAACACCUUGCCUUGAGAGCUGGAUUUUACUACACCACAAAGCAUUUAUGGACCCCUAAAAACAGGCCAUCAAAAUGUAUAUUGGGAAAAGAUGGAUUAUUUCAGACGGUGGAAGACAUCAUCUCCAGAAAGCCACAGAAAAGAUACCAAGCUAGUUUAAAUUUCCAUCAAAACAGAAGAGAUCAAAGGAUUGGAUGAGCAAGAGGACUGAAAAAUGCAAGCUAAAGAUCGACUUCCAGAUGAAGUCCCAUCUAAGAUAACUAAAUUGCAACAAAUCUUUGCAACUGUAUUAUGCAGUGGUGUGGCAGCUUCAUGAAAUUCUAUUCUGGAAAACCUCUCUAGUACCUGGAAAAAAAGGUGAUAAAAAGGAAUUACCUGCUCUUGAAAAUAUUAGUCAUAGAAAGGGCUGAAAAACUACUACAUAUAGAGAAUUUAAAUCUAGAUGCAACCACCAAAACCAAAAUAUCUGAAGAGGAGAGUUUGUGGGAGCAUGAGAAGGCCAACUGGCAGACACCUCUAGGACCUACAUGAAAUGCAAGAAAUGCUAGUUAUGAGAACAGACUUUGCUUUCAGAAGGACCGGAUAGUUACAGAGACUUUCAAAGUUAUUAUCUGCCAUUUCUCAUUUCUCUCUCUCCAUCAGAGUUUAAAAAAUUCAGGUCUCCUUUCUCUCACUAUCGUCUGAAGUUGUUCUUUCUCCAAUUCCCUGUGCACAUACCAUGAUUCACACCUCUCUUCAUCAUUUUUGUUACCUUCCCUUUGUAACCUCCUUUUCUCUGACAUUCCUAAUUCCUCAGUUGAACAUGACAAGAGUAAAACGAUUCCUCUUUCUACUGUCCAACCCUGUCACUUCCCAUGCCCCCAAAUCCUCUUAAAGAGUCUAAUCUCUCGGCCCUUCCCUCUUCUGCCAAACACUGUUCUGUACUUGCUCUGAACUUCUAUAAAUUUUAUUUCAAAAUCUGUACUUACAAACAUUUUACAAAGCAGCAUUCUAAUUGCUCCCUAAGUGUCAUCCACUUAACUCUUCUCUCAUCUCUAGUUUCAGCUGUAAGAUCUUUGGGAGAGUUAACUACCCUGUUAUUCUCUUUCAGUGUCCUGAAAACCUGGGAUAUGAUGAACACAACUACAGCUAUCUGAAUCUAGCAAAAUUAGGAGGGCAAUCAUAUUAUUUGUUCUGUAUAAGAACAACACUUUUUCUCCUUUUCUUACUAUUGCACCAUAAGUUUAGCAAGUACCAAAUACUCCCACAGAGGGUAACUACAUAUGGAUAAUUGUAUCUGGGUUGUGAGAUCUGGAUACCUGUCCCCAGAGUUUUCAGAGCCAGCAAAAUUCCACUCAUCUAUUACACCAGCACAGAAGGCACCUAUCCAGCUACGUGGACCAAAGCCAAAGCAAUAAACCCUUUUCAUUUAUUCCUUUAGAACAUCUACUCAGGUUCAGACUAUCAGUCGUUACUGCAAGUUGCUCGGUGACCUGAAACUAAAACCAGCAAGGACGACAACAAAGCUGGCAGGCAGUGCUGUGGCACAGCUGCAGUUGGUGUAGCAUAGGAAACAAAAGAACAGUUGAGGCUGCAGGUGUUCUCAUCACCAACAUUCAGCAUGAUGGAACAUUUAAACAGUACUGGUUAAAAUACAACUAACUUCUGUCCCCUUUAACAAGACUGAAAGUUACCCAAGUUAACAGGAUUGCUUUCAGAAAAAAUACUUUCUCCCCCAAAAAAAGCGUAAGUGCCUAACCCAGUGAAUGCAAAGUGGUUUUGGUCUCCACAUUUUAUUUUAAAGUGGCAAUGUGUACAAAGCUUUUUAUUAUUAACUACUGUAAUUAGCAGACUAUAAACAUUUAUCAUAAAAAAUAGGAAAAUAAUACAGCUUUAAAUGCCAUCUACUAGCACUAUUCAAAACAUUUUCCGUUCUGAUAAAAAUUCACAUCAGCUAAAAAAUAUUUAUUGCCAAUUGAUUUUCUAAGAGAUGCAGUUUUCAAUGAAUGAACAUGGUAAUUUCACACAGAUACAGUUACAUCUUAUGUCUAGAUUCAGAGGUGGCACCCAUCACGUCUUUAAAGUUGCAUAUUUUUCCAAUCCCCUCCUUCAGCAUUAUUUUUGGAUAAACAUCAAAUUUUCAAACGUCUUCUCAAUAACUUUUUAUCUCAUCUAAUAAAGCCAUGGUAAUAUUUAAACAUAUUUUGGAUCCUACAAGACUUAUAGUAUUAAUAUUUUCCAGCUAUAAACAAUACAAUUUAAUUGAACAGUGUCAAAAUGCUAUUCAUUAAUAUUGAUUAGAUUACAAGUUCACUGCAUGUGCAACUCAUCCUGUAUUAAUGACAAAAUGAUGAACACACCUGUUUUAUCCCCUAAAAUCUCUCUACCAAAGGUCAUGCAGUGGCAGCUCCUCAUAAAUUUCAUUUGCCAUUACACAGGUUAUUUAACUGGUUCGAUUUAAUCUUUCUGAAGUUCAUAAUCAAAGAAAUAAGGACUUCCAUAGCUCAGCAAUGAGAAUUCUCAGUUAAUAACAUUGACUAUUCAGCAUAAUUUUUAACAUACUUUAACUAUGUUGAAAGCAACAGUUCAUUCCUAUUCCCUUUCCUUAAGUCUCCUAAGUAGUUUUACAAGCAAAACCUGCUGUAAUUAGUUUAAGCAGGAGAAGUAGUUUUCUCAGUGGUUAUUUGUAAGGAUGUUUGCUCUUAACUCUGCAGUCUAAAGUUAUAUUCCAUCAAAUUUCCUUUAAAAUGCCCAGAAAACUGUAAAACAAAAGAAAGGGUUUUUUCCCUCUAAAAUCAUUCUGCUUUGCCUACUUCACAUUAUAGCAUCUGCAUUUCUGUCACUUUGUUUUUAAUUCUUUAUAAACAAUUUAUACAAGUAGAGCAGUUCCCAUGAUCAGAUUUUUAGAUAUAGGUACAAUUGUUUGCCCUCCGCUUAAGCCAUACAGUAUACAAACUGUAAUCCUUUCACCCAAUUUUUAAAACAUGAUUGUUGUCUAUUAUAAGACAUAACAGAAAGAAGCCAGAACGGUUCAGAUGAUAAAGGUCCUGCACGGAGGAAAUAAUGAAAGCUAAGCCAGAUUCUUCUGCCUGGUUUUUGCUCAUAAAAAUAUCACACUUAAUUAAGGAGCUUUUUUUAAAAAAAAAAAUUUCUGACUGAGCGUAUAAUCAGCAAAAACAAAUCAGGCACCAGUCAAAACAAAUAAUCCCUUUGAUUUACUCCUCUGAUGACUCUAAGUGGUUGAGUGUAAUUCAUUCUUGAAAGAAUUUCGCUCCCCAAAUCCCACACUGUGAGCAGCUUUCAGCCCUGUGAACAAAGCGAAGUGGUCUCUGGUUUUCACGAGGAGGCUCAGUGAUGUGGAGAACUUUGGCAGGGCUACAAAGGCUCGGCAGAAUGGAGGCAGUCUAAACAGAUACGGCUGUUUGGUUUCUCUGCCGGAACUGCUGAACAUAGAAGUAACCUCUACGAACCCUUUCUGCUCACCCAAAGUAUCACAAAAAGCACAAUUCAUGAUUAAGAUUGCUUUCUGUGGACAAAAAUGUGCUUCAAAAUGCCCUUAAAUAACAAGCAUGUAGAAAUGUUAAAUAGUCUGUACAUACAGAAGAACUCAUCCAAGAUUGCUAAAAGCUUAAAGGAAACAUCAUCAGCACAAAGGGCACAAACCAAGUCAGGAAAUUAAGCCCCAGAAUACCUCUGGUUGUUCUGCCUGGAAAAUACAGGCAGAAGAACCCUUUUAGAUUAGGCACUUAGAAGGAAUCUUGAAACACUCAACCUAUAUCCCUGUGGGAUAAACUUUAGGCUUUGUUUCAGGGAGAAAAAAUAAAAAAAGAUCAAAAGAGUCCUGUCUGAUGCUCCAGGUAUAAGACUGGAUGUCAUGGAGUAACCUAACUGCUUCUUUCUGAGCAUCUUUCUCAGUUCUCCCAACUUUGUGGACUUCUACAAACUAAAACUGGAGCAGACUGGCUAUAUCUAUACUGUUGCAACUGGUAUUGAUGGAUCUUCACUUGGCCUCAUUCCCUGUACUGGGCAGCUUCAGACAGCACAGGUUCAGCUUCACUGACCUGACCCUGGAGACUUGCUGUCACAGCAUGGCAGGGUGGCCAAGAGCAUACUAAGGCAAUUCCAGUACUAAAACCUCAUUGAAAAAGAAAGUAGGAGAUGCAUUUGUCCAGCACAAUCACUUGUGGGAUCUUAAUAAAUCUAGUGCUCCACAAUGUUCAAAUUCUGUAUGAUACCCCCAGCCUCCACCUCCUAAGCCACAGUAAGAUGAUUUAGAAAGGGUACAUUAACUUGUCAAGUAUAUAAAGCACCAUUCAAAAUAUUUAAUUUCACUGUAGAAACCUUUUAUUGUUAUGGCAUGAUUUUUUAGUAAUACAGUUACAGCAAAAGUGAUUCUCUCCAAGUUACUAAACCAGUAAUUUAUUAAUCAUUCUAGCCUAGUAACUGCUGUAAAAAAAUGCACUAAAUAGAAGCCACAAACUCUAUUUCCCUUGAGCAGCUUUCCCUGGAUACACAGCAAUCCAUUUACAGCAUGCAGAAAUCAGCUAGUGAAAGGAUUAUAACAAUCUCUUUUAUAGUUAGAAAAGUAAUAGUUCCUGAGCAUCACCGGGAACCUCUUUCACAUACUCUUUUGAACAAGACAGUCAAUCAAAAGUACUAAAUCAACUUUCAGUUUUAGCAUUUUUCAUUCUUAUAAAACACAACAAAAAGCUGAAAACAGUGUCACAGGUUUGAAAAAGACAUCUCUAUACAGUUAAAAAUUAUCCAGUAUGUUCAGUUAAUUAAGAAUAAUGCAGAAAAUAGAGGCUAGGGAGAAAAAAUGUGCCCCAGCAAACAGCAAAUGAAUCUGUUGGAGUUAGUUACUGCGCCUUGACCUCUGCACAGCCUCUUGAAUGAAGCCUUAAUCAAAAUGAGGUUUGCAGAUAUGAUUUUGUUUAUUAGAUGUAAUUUAAAUAAAAAUCUCUACUAAGAAACUGAGCUGGAUUAGAAUUUUACAGAAUCACAGAAUCACUAGGUCAGAAAAGACCUCCACGAUCAUCGAGUCAAAUGAUUCCUAUCAGCCAC